AAAAUUCUAAAAAUAAAAAUAAUAAAAUCGUUUGUGUCCUUUUGGUAGUUUAGAAUGUUGUGAGAAGAGUUCACAGUCUAAGAGUUAUUAAUGACAUUCAUUAAAAACUUAUGAAUCCUCAAGAGGAAUACCUCUUCCUCUAUAAUUUGAAUGUGGCGGUAAACAAGCAGUGAGGAGUGGCCGACAACAAGGGACGUCCUUCCAUUGUAGUAGUACAGGAGUAUAAAAAGUCAUAUAAAACAAGAGUAGAACAUUAAAAAGCUUUAUAAAAGAGUUCAGAGACGAGCAGUUCUUGUUGAAAGUUGCUAUUAUAAAUUCGCUGUAUUAUUUUUAAAGGAGAGAAGACGUAAUGGGCUGCGUUGGUUCUACCGUUGAUAAGGAAGCUCAGGAAAGAACGACGGCCAUUGAUAGGACACUAGCCUACGAUGGAGCGAAGAGAAAGAGCGAGAUAAAGCUCCUAUUACUAGGUGCUGGUGAAUCUGGCAAGAGCACAUUUG